rnacentral:tRNA from 1 species
GCGGAUGUGGCGGAAUUUGGUAUACGCGUACGCUUCAGGAGCGUAUGCCGCAAGGCUUGUGGGUUCGAGUCCCACCAUCCGCACUA